rnacentral:rRNA from 1 species
CGGGGUGCACCAGGCGCGAAAACUUUACAAUGCCGGCAACGGCGAUAAGGGAACCUCGAGUGCCAGGUUACAAAUCUGGCUGUCGUGAUGCCUAAAAAGCAUUGCAUAGCAAGGGCCGGGCAAGACCGGUGCCAGCCGCCGCGGUAACACCGGCGGCUCGAGUGGUAACCGUUAUUAUUGGGUCUAAAGGGUCUGUAGCCGGCCGGGUAAGUCUCUUGGGAAAUCUGGCAGCUUAACUGUCAGGCUUUCAGGAGAUACUGCCUGGCUCGAGGCCGGGAGAGGUGAGAGGUACUUCAGGGGUAGGGGUGAAAUCUUGUAAUCCUUGAAGGACCACCAGUGGCGAAGACGUCUCACCAGAACGGACCUGACGGCAAGGGACGAAAGCUAGGGGCACGAACCGGAUUAGAUACCCGGGUAGUCCUAGCCGUAAACGAUACUCGCUAGGUGUCGGCCACGGUGCGACCGUGGUCGGUGCCGUAGGGAAGCCGUGAAGCGAGCCACCUGGGAAGUACGGCCGCAAGGCUGAAACUUAAAGGAAUCGGCGGGGGAGCACAAGG